rnacentral:lncRNA from 1 species
UUUAAUGUAGAAACUAAAAUUUUAUUUUAUUAACAGGAAAAUAUAACCAUCAAAGUUCAAAUUGUACUUACAAAUGUCAUUCACUAUAGACAAUUUAAACAAAAAUAAAAUAUUUGCAAACAUAAGAUCCCUAUACAAGAAUAAAAUUGUGAAUAGCUAUACAUCUUUACAAUUAAACAUUGUUGGAUUCAAACUAAUAUUGGGACAAGAGAUAUUUUCACUUCUUCGGCUCUGUUUCCACUCCUUUUGCUACUUUCUUUUAGGAGCUUCCUCCCCAUGUCGUUUGAGUGCCUACUCAUUUGAUAAUCUCCUGACUUGCUAGAAAAAGAUUGUCCAAGGUGAUGAUCAAAUAAUGGCUAAUACCACUAAUUAUUGCAGAAUUCCAACUUUAAGUAAUAAAUUCCCUGAAAGAGAACAGAAAGGAUAUUAGGCAACUCUAUAAACUAUGCAGUAGGAUUUAAUCAAAGAUAGCAGCUAUUCGUUUAAGUAGUUGUAUGUUAUUAUAGCCCAAUAAUUAUCUUUCUGAGUAAAGUAUCUCCUAAUCCAAAAAUUAUAACAAAUAAAACUAACUUACAAAGACUGCAACAAUCAAUUACAUACUAUUUGGCUUAUAAGAAAUCAAGGAGAAUAACAACAUUAUCAUGAAUUUGACACAGAGAUACACAACAAUUCAAAUGUUUAACAAGUCGGUAAAAGUUGGUGGAGUAUUGAAUUUGGUGAUAUUGGAAUCAACAAUCCUAACCUCAGCAACCACUGUUAAGGAGCAUUUUAAUCAGUCAGCAGAAGUUUACUGUACAAGAAAUAAACCAAAACUUGCAUACCUCUAAAUUGAGCUCCAUAACCAGCACAAUCUAAAUGUAACCCUGCGAGAAACAUAACUCAUUUGAGCGAGACAUACUUGAUAUAUCAUAUAUAAGUAAACAAAAAAUACAAAAGAAAACUUAAAAAUAUAGCUUUUUUAGAACAAGAUCAAAUAGAGGUAAAACUAAAGACACAUGCAUAGCCAGUUUCAUCCAAACUCCACUAUCAAGCAAAACUCUUUGUUUCAUCAGCUUGCCAAAUGCCAACUAAGAUCACUGAAUAUUUGUAUCCUAUUUGAAACCAGUGUCAGAAUUGAAAUAAGAAUUACCUCAUUUCCACAUUCCUCCCACCAAGAUAGUGACGCCAAUGAUUAAUCUUUACAUUGGAAUAGACAUAUGAGCCAACAAUCAACCAUUUGAGUAUCUUUAGAUGAAAAACUUGACAACAUUCAUUACUCUAAUUAGAGUUAGACAAUAAAUUUCUUACUCUAAAGCAAGAUGGAAAAUCAAACAAAAUUAAUUGAAUGCUUUAUCAAAAACAAAAUAAAAUUUGCUUAGAAAACCCCCCAAAAAAUAUCUUUACCUUCCCCUCAAGCACUCCAAACUAAAGAACAAAUGAAAGCGCUGCGUAAACGCAAAUAUUUCAAGAAAGCACCAAUUUUGCANNNNNNNNNNNNNNNNNNNNNNNNNGGCAAAUAAUAUCAUCAAAGCUACACACUAUAUAAACCUUAAAAUAACUAAACUUAAUUGUAUGAUUAUCAAUGAACAAAGAUGUGUGAAUAAUUAAUCACGAUGAUACCUAAAUGUAGCAGAGAAAGAGAGAUCGAAAGACUUCAUAUUCGAAUCAGUGGAGACAUCAAACUUCAGAAGGAAAUCUUAUCUUAAUUUUAAAUAAUAUAUCGUCUGUAGCCUUCUCGUCCCAAGUCGCAACUUUGCUUUCUCAAUCCUUCUUGUCUACGACAGUAUCAAAGGCAGAAAAGAAACAAUCGACGGAUAAGGCACCAUUAGCAGAGGAUUCCAAAGGCUAGCAAGAACUCAACGAUGGGAGCAGAGUGAAGGAGACCUAGAAGAAUUAUAUCACGGGAGCCGCCGUUGUGGGUCUAAUUUGUUUCGUUUCACGUAUUUAAAAGUUAGACAUUAGGUUAAAGUUUCCUUCUUUAAUUGUAAUUGUCGG